CACGGGCAGCAGCCGGCU
rnacentral:misc_RNA from 1 species